UUAAAUUAAAAUUUAUUUAUCUUUAUAUUUUAUUUAAUUGAAAUAACUUUCUUUAUUAGUAUAUUUAUUAGAAAUAAGUUUUUAUAAUUAUAGUUGAUAGUACUGUAAAGGAUUAUUAUUAAUUUUUUUAAAAGUAUAUAUUUUUAUUUUACCUUUUGUAUCAGGGCUUAUUAAUUAAGUUUUAUUUAUAAAUAAAAUUCCCGAAAUUAAAAGAUUUAAUAUUAUAUGAUUGUUUAUGUAAUAUAAUAAUUUUAAAUAUAAUAUUAGUGGUUAUAUGCUUUUCAAUUUUAAAUAUCUGGUUUUCUGAUAAUUGAAUUUAAUUCAUAAUUAUACAGUUAUUAAUAACUUAUAUUUUUAAUAAUUUUAUAAUUAAAUAAUAUUGAGGAUUAGCUCAUUUAUUAUUACUAUAAAUUUUUCUAUGUUAAUUUUUGUAGGUUUAAUAACAUCCUUCUUUAAUUUCGUUAUAGUUUAAAUUAAUAAUUUAUUUAUUUAAUUAUUUUUAGUUAUUUAUUAGAUUAAUUAAUUUAAUUUUUAAAUUAAUUUAAUAAUGAUAAGAUUAGUAGUUUUUUUAAUUUAAGUAUAGUAACUCGGCAAAUAUUAUUUUCACCUGUUUAAUAAAAACAUGUCCUAUAGAUUAUUAAUUAUAGGUCUGACCUGCUCAAUGAGUAAUUAAAUAGCUGCAGUAUAUUAACUGUACAAAGGUAGCAUAAUCACUUGUCUUUUAAUUUGAGGCUUGAAUGAAUGGUCGGAUGAAAUAUAUUCUUUCUUUAUUUAAAUUUAAUGAAUUUAAUUUUUUAGUUAAAAAGCUUAAAUGUUUUUGUGGGACGAGAAGACCCUAUAGAAUUUUAUAUUAAAUAAAUUAUUUAUAUUUAUUUGAUUUUUUAAUAUUUUAUUUAGUAUUUGAUUGGGGUGAUUAUAAAAUUUUAUUAACUUUUAUUAUAAAUAGUUUCAUUAAUUAAUGUAAUUUUUGAUCCCUUAUUAUGGAUUAUAAGAUUAAAUUACCUUAGGGAUAACAGCGUAAUUCUUUUGGAGAGUUCUAAUCGAUAAAGUGAGUUUGCGACCUCGAUGUUGGAUUAAAAUAAGUAUUUGGUGUAGCAGCUAAAUAACUGGGUCUGUUCGACCUUUAAUUUUUUACAUGAUCUGAGUUAAGACCGGCGUGAGCCAGGUUGGUUUCUAUCUACAAUUAAUUAUAAUACUUUAGUACGAAAGGAUUAAGUAUUAAUAAUAUUUAUUUUUUAUUUGAUUAAUAUU
rnacentral:rRNA from 1 species